rnacentral:lncRNA from 10 species
GCCUGGCCUUAUGGUCCCAAGACACCUGGUCCUCAGGCCAGAGACACCAUGGGCUUUGGUCGGGUCCCAGCCUCCCAGUAGUGUCCUGGCACUAGCAGGAGCUGACCCCUGAGCCACAACCGCAGUUCUGGGUUUGGGGUUUGGUAAAACCACCUCAAGGAUAAAGUCUUGGGAUCGGGUUUGCCAGGAACCAUGGUGCCUCCCAGAGAUGGUGUGUCAUUCCCACUCGCCACGAAAUGUGCACACAGGCUGUUCCCAUGUCCAUCCCAUCCCGCUGGACAGGAUGGAGGAAGUGAGGGAACAGGCAUGGUGGACAGCUGGGGUGCAGGGAGAGGCAGGUGCAUGCUGGGAGGUCAGGCCCUGCGAGGGCUGUGGAGGCAUCAGGUGGAGUGGGCUCCAGGUGCACCUUCAGUGUACUGGGCACGUCUGAGGCCAGGCUCACUGGACCCUGGACGUGUGAUGUGGUCAAUCACUGGGGGAAUGUUGUCAGGUCCCAGACACCCGCCCUGGGCAGCACUGUCUCAUCUCAGGACUGGACUUUCUGAGUCCUAAGACAAGACAGUGCUGCCCAGGCCUGACAGCCUGGGAGGACCUGUUAAGUCCUCCAUCCCUAGACUAGCCUCCCAACAGCAGGGACAGUCUCUAAUCUUCACCUUCAGGGAACUGACUGAUCCAUCUCACUCUAAGCCAGUCGAGGCAGAGCUGAGGACCUGCACCAGUCUGGGAGCCAGUCCCCUCCCCAAAUGGGCCUGAGGGAAGCACCAUCCCUGUCCCAAUCUGCCACAAGUUUCAGCCUAGGAGACACAUGGGGAAGGGAGGACGGGGCAUCCCUGCUGGCUGACACUGGAAAAGUGGGACCUGGGAGAAUGGGGAGCACAAGGCUGGCAGGGGAUGCUCCAGGCCCAUGGAGAGCUCAGGCUGCACCAUGCGGUUGCCCCUCCUGGGUGGAGUCUGUGCCCUCUACAGGAUCUGAGAAAGUCCAGUCCUGAGAUGGGACAGCGCUGCCCAGGGUAGGUAGCCGGGGCCUGAGAGCAGUCCCCCAGGGAGUGACCACAUCACCUGGCUGGGGUCCAGGGAGCUUGGGGUGAGACCCACCCAGUGCACUGAGGGUGCACCUGGAGCCCAACCCACCUGACACCCUCACAGCCUUCACAGGGUCUGACGUCCCACCAUGCACCUGCCUCUCCCUGCACCCCACUGCCCACCCUGCCUGUUCCCUGGCUUUCUCCAUCCUGUGCAGCCCAUAGACUGUGACCAUCUCUCCAGACACUCUGACCCUUUCUUCACCUUUGUCCUGUCAGAAUCUCUGAGCAACAUCUCCCAGGUCCAUCCAAACAACUGCUUUGUCUACUUUUGACCGGGCCAUUGGGCAUCACUGGGCCAUCCCAGCUGUCCAGAGGGCCCUCGAUAACGUGCAAUGCACCUGGCUUCUCCAAGCAGCGCUCAGCAGUCCCCACUGACCAGGUUCCUGCUGACCAGACCCCACACAUCAGGUCUUCCCUGACCACACCCUCACUGAUUAGAUCCCCAUCACCAGGACCCACUAACAAGACCCCUGCUUCCAGGCCAACAAUGACCAUGACUCCACUGACCAGGACCUUACUGACAAAGCCUCACGGACAAGGCCUCACUGAACAGGACCUUACUGACCAGGCCUCACUGACAAGGCCUCACUGACAAAGUCCUUACUAACAAGGCCUCACUGACCAGGACCUUAUUGACAAGGCCUCACUGACAAGGCCUCAUGGAUGAGCUCCUUACUGACAAUUCCUCACUGACCAGGACCUUAUUGACAAGGCCUCACUGACAAGGUCCUUAUUGACAAGGCCUCACUGACCAGGACCUUACUGACAAGGCCUCACUGGCAAGGCCUCAUGGACCAGGUCCUUACUGACAAGGCCUCACUGACUAGGUCAUUACUGACAAGGCCUCACUGAUCAGAUUCCACUGAUCAUGACCCCAUUACCUGGCCCCACAGAUGAGGCCCCACUGACCAGGCCUCCAGGGAACAGGCUGCCACUGAUCAGGCCCCUACUAACCAGGCCUGAGGUGACCAGAUGCCCCUGACUGGGACCCUAGUGAGUAGGCCCCACUGAACAGGCACCGACUACUCAGGUCCCCGCUGACUGGGUCACCCCAUAGACCAGUGCUACAAAAGCCACCACUGACCAAGUCAUCACUGACCAGGCCCCCACUGAUGAGGUUCCAAUGACCAGGCUGCCCUGAUCAGGUCCCCACUGACAAGGGACUCACUGAUGAGGACACGCCCACCAGGCCCUGCUGACUAGGUCCCAUGUGACCAGUCCUCCACUGAAUAGCAGCCCUUGACCUGGUCACCAGUGACCCAGCCCAUGCUGACCAGGCCACCACUAAGCCCAGCUGACCAGGUCGCCACUGGUCAAG